CAGUAGCCGCGGUAAUACGAGGGGGGCAAGCGUUGUUUGGAAUUAUUGGGCGUAAAGGGUGCGUAGGCGGUUUGAUAAGUCUUGUGUGAAAUCUAUGGGCUCAACCCAUAGUCUGCACAGGAAACUGUCGGGCUUGAGAGUGGGAGAGGUGAGUGGAAUUUCCGGUGUAGCGGUGAAAUGCGUAGAUAUCGGAAGGAACACCUGUGGCGAAAGCGGCUCACUGGACCAUUUCUGACGCUGGUGCACGAAAGCUAGGGGAGCAAACAGGAUUAGAUACCCCCGUAGUCCCUGUCUCUUAUAC
rnacentral:rRNA from 1 species